UUAAAUGCUGCUUACCUUGCUGUUCAUGGAAGUGCCAUUUUGGGCCGGUCUCUAUGGCUAAAAACUUCACCAUUCUCACAGAUGGCCUAGUCUCCUACUGCAGUACCUGGUUUACUUCACCAUUCUCACAGAUGGCUUAGGCUCCUACUGCAGCACCUGGUUCAUACUUUUGGUAUAAACUGCAGCCUGCAGUAGAAACAAACAGCAUAUGUUUCAGUCUAGCCCGGAAUCAGAAUCUAUAGAACUGCAGUCUGUAGAAGAAAUUAACAACACAUGCUUCUG
rnacentral:lncRNA from 1 species